GACAUGGGAAGAGUGAGCAGAGAUGAAAGAGAAGUGGCACUUGUGCUUGUCUGGCCACUCGCAGCGCAGCGAGGCAGCGGCAUAGCAACGCAUCCAGGGGCAGCUGAGGGGGAACAGUGCAACCUGUUGACUGAGAGCGGUAGCUACAGCCCCAAAUAAGGGCCUCCUUUUCCUUGCCACCACUGCCUCAGCCUCCUGCUUUUUACAGGAAGCUUUUAGCCACAGUUGCUUGCUCUUUCUACCCUCCAUUUACCUUAUCACAAUAUUUUUUGGGGGGAAAGGUGCCUGAACUGUGCACCAUUGACUACAACCAGAAAAAAGCACUGAUCGAGUGAUAGUGACUAAGUAAAGGUGGUGCCAGAAAAAUUAACAGAUAUUAAGAUUCAGUCACAUUAAGAUUCAAUGAAAUUUCCAACCCAACUUGGCCUUCAGAGUGUUUAAAUUCUUUUGAAUAGAAAUAUUUUAAAUAUUGUUUCUACUAAAGUUGAAGUUUACUUUACUGUUGUUUUUCCAUUUGAAACCGAGGUUGUGUUGUGUAAGUGUAUUUGUAAAAAAACAGCCAUGACUGGGUCUGUGGUGCAGGUCAAGGGGAGGUUAACCUUCCCUCCUGUGCAACAGUCCCAAUGAAAAUCUCCCCUGGGUGAUAAUCUGUUAUUGGCUCCAAACAGCUUGCUCUCCUGGGGCAAACAGUAGCUUUAGGGCGGCAAUUUUCGUGCUCAUUGCAUGGCGGCCCCUGCUUGGAAAAGAAUUUUUGCCUGUGUCUAUGUGUAUCAAAAAGAAAAGCAACACAAUGCUGAGGUUGUUUUUGACCAGCCAGAGAAAGCAGAAUUGUAGACCUCUCACAAACAGGAACCAUGAGGUAAAUUUCUGAGGAAGGGCAACACUGGAGAAAAUGCAAAUGGCCAGAAUUUCCAAGCCCAAAGUAUUACAGACUUUGAGUUAGGCUGCAAUCUUAACCUUACUACCUGGCCAUAAGUCCCACUGAAUUCAAUAGGAGUUUCUUCUGAGUAGACAUAGUUAGGAUUGUGAUGCUAGUGCUUUCAGAACAGAAAUUAGAGAUUGAGGUACAAUUGUUUUCAUGUUUCUAAGCACACUUUACCCUCUGUCCUGUUUUAUGAUUCAAGCAAUGGGGUUCUCUUCCACACUUCCUGGGAAUCUAUUCCCCAUUCUAAUAGAUCACACUGUUCAGAAAUUUUUUCCUGAUGUUCAGUCCAAAUUUUUCUUUGCUCAAUUUCAUCCUAUUAUUCUUCAAUAUGCCCAGUGGAGGCUGGUGAAAACAGAAAGAGAAUAGACAACCCUGACACAUUUUGUGUCCUCGGAAGCAAUUUGCAGCAGCAGGCAAAGCAGAGGAGUCAAUUCGGAGCAUUCUGUAAGCGAGAGGAUCUUAGACUUAGGGCAUGCCCUUUCAGACAAUGUUUCUGAUGAAAAACUGAAAUGUAUAAAAGUGUGAGGUGGGGAGAAGCCAUUACUUGUAAUUAUGUUGCUAAUUAUUUUAUAUCUGAACAGCAGGACACUAGAAAACCCGGUGUGUGUGCCUAACCUUUUGCAUCCAGGCUAUAGGUAGGCCACAGGGAAGUCAACUAGAAAGCUCAUGUUGUGUUUUGGCUAGGAAGACAAGGAAGCCCCUAAUUCAAAUCUCACCAUAGUCCUGAACUCACAAGGGCUGCGUUCAGAUGGCCCUUUAUUCCAUCUGCCUGAAAUUUUCUUAUAUCAAUUUUUAUGAUCUUUCACAUGAUGUAAAACCCACUUCUGGAAAUGUAGUGGAAUCUAACAGGACUCGUUUCUGUCUUAAUUUUUUUCCAUUUUCCAUUUCUGAUUUUUUGUUUUUGAAAUUUUCAUUUCAUUUUCCAUUUUUCCCCAUUUCUGUCUUUCCCCCCAGAAAAAAAUUAAUUUGCAACCCUCGUAACUCAGAAAACCGUAGGAUUUUCAUACCGUAAUUUUCUCAGUUUUCAUGAUCACACCAACACCGCUCAUGUGAUGAAAUUUGGAGAGGUAUCCUGGCAUACAGGUCUUUCCUGCUAUUUAAAUUUUAGCACGACAUGGAAGUAUAUGAACCAAAAGCCACAGAUUCAUAAUACAACACACAGUGCUGUAUUAGGAACAUUAGAAAUUGUGGCAGAAGCACUAGCAUGAUAACCAGUAAAGCCAACACAACUAAGCCCCAUGUCCGAAUGCAGGCUUGGUGACCUCAGGCAAGUGGUCAUCCCUCAAGUUCAGUAUAUGUGUAGUAUUUCAGAUCUGUGCUGAUAUACUGCUUGGUGCGAACUUGCUUCCCAAUUAUUUGUUAAUUUUUUUUAAACCCUCAACUGUGAAUUUUGAUGGCAAACAUCAUCUAUCCCUCUGGGCUCAAUCUUCUGCCCAGAAGGACAAGGCAAGGCAACUGUAGUUAUUCAGCAUGUUUUCACUGAAUAUUCAAUAUUCAAUAUAUUCAAUAUUUAUUGUCCUUUGACACCUGAAGAUUUUGCAGCAAGAGUUCAUUUGGCAGUGCCUAACCAGUAAGUCCCCUUCAUGGAUCAUUGCGUUGUCAUGGCAAAGGGGCUUGAAUAACUUCAAGAAGCUAUGAGCUAUGCCAUGCAGGGCCACCCAAGAUGGACAGGUCAUAGCCAAGAGUUUAGACUAAAUGUGAUCCACCUGGAGAAGGAACUGGCAAACCACUCCAGUAUUUUGCCAAGAAAACUCCAUGGACAUAAAAAAGGAGAAGCUUUGAGAAGAAAGUGAGGGUUUCCAAGGCAUGCUCUGGUUCAUGGGGUCACAGAGAGUCGAACACAACUAAGACGACUAAACAACAACAACCAGUAAGUACCCUGCAUGGUAAGUGCCUAGCAUGAAGCAGUCAACAUUUCACAACAUGGCAGUGAAUAUGUAGUAGCAAUUAAUAUUUUACAGUAUCUGAUAGUUGUAUCAUUUAGUAAGUUUUGCAUUAACUGUAUUCAUUCAGUUAAAUUGCUGAAUUUGUCAAUUUUCAUUUUUGAAAUUCAGAUGUCCCAUCUUGAGAUCAACUUUUCUGAAAUGUUUCAGCUCUGUUAUCUGGAAAGACAAUGACAGCUUAAAGGAGAGGCACAGACUGGUCGUGAAAUUUCUAUGAUGAGGGUUCAGUGAAGUUAAGAGUUCUAGUGAAAUAUUGUGAAAUGCACACUUCUUUCCCCCCGCUGAAGUGACAUGAAAUAACCUCCUUGGACUUUUCUUUGAAUUUGACAUUUUUGAUAUAUAAACAUUUAGUCUUUAUCCUAAUGAGUCAGCAGCAAUCACUACAACGCUACUUAUGACAUACUGGUAUUUUGUCAGUUUGAUAAUGAUGAGUUGCUGGGGUGAAAAUAGAUUACAACUAGUUUUGCGCUCAAAUUUCACCUUUUAGCAUAUAUGCUAGCAACUAGCUGAGCCAUUAUUGCAUUGCUUCAAUAAUAUUUUCUGUGAGUAAUGAAGCCAUUGACAUAACUAGAAGCGGAGGUGCUAUGCUCACAGCAUCAGGAGAAAACUAUUUCUUCAGCUUCUUGAAUGAUAGCCUAAUGUCUCUUUCAUCUCCUAUAAAAUGUGCAAUAUACUAAACAAGGAAAGGUGAAGAAGCAUAUGGAUUUAACCAUGAUACAUAUUCUUCAAGGAGAUGGAGAGGAUUGUAUCCAGGUUUUUAAGCAAGCAGUUUGA